GUUUUUGUUUAUUACAAAUAAAGCUGCUAUUCGCAUUUCGUGUGGAAGUAAGUUUUAUUUUCUCUAGGAUAAAUACCCAGGAACAAGAUUGCUGAGUCAUAUGGUCACAAAGAUUUUCCUCCUCCUACACCUGGGAAUACUGAACACACUCCACAUUGCUCCCCCUCCUCUGUGUGGGAGAACCGUGUCAGAGUUAGAGCUGCGGACUGGGAAGAAGUUGGACCUACAAGAAUUCCAUGGCUGAGGCACCGAUUUAGAACCGGUUUUUCAACAGUGAGCAUACAUCAGGAACCACGGAACCAAAAUGCACCCUGAACUUUGCCAAGGUUAAAAGAUACUGAGAGCCAAAG
rnacentral:lncRNA from 10 species